rnacentral:rRNA from 1 species
AAUAUUGGACAAUGGGCGAAAGCCUGAUCCAGCCAUGCCGCGUGAGUGAUGAAGGCCUNAGGGUCNUNAAGCUCUUUCAGCGGGGNAGAUAAUGCCGGUACCCGCAGAAGAAGCCCCGGCUACCUGCGUGCCAGCAGCCGCGGUAAUCCGAAGGGGGCUAGCGUUGCUCGGAAUCACUGGGCGUAAAGCGCACGUAGGCGGCUUUCUAAGUCAGGGGUGAAAUCCUGGAGCUCAACUCCAGAACUGCCUUUGAUACUGGAAAGCUUGAGUUCGGGAGAGGUGAGUGGAACUGCGAGUGUAGAGGUGAAAUUCGUAGAUAUUCGCAAGAACACCAGUGGCGAAGGCGGCUCACUGGCCCGAUACUGACGCUGAGGUGCGAAAGCGUGGGGAGCAAACAGG